rnacentral:rRNA from 1 species
CAGCCGCCGCGGGAAUACGUAGGUGGCAAGCGUUGUCCGGAAUUAUUGGGCGUAAAGGGCUCGCAGGCGGUUUCUUAAGUCUGAUGUGAAAGCCCCCGGCUCAACCGGGGAGGGUCAUUGGAAACUGGGAAACUGGAGUGCAGAAGAGGAGAGUGGAAUUCCACGUGUAGCGGUGAAAUGCGUAGAGAUGUGGAGGAACACCAGUGGCGAAGGCGACUCUCUGGUCUGUAACUGACGCUGAGGAGCGAAAGCGUGGGGAGCGAACAGGAUUAGAUACCCCCGUAGUCCCUGUCUCUUAUAA